AUUGCGUGGUUUUUGAGAUUAGAUCUCGAGAGUUUUCAAAAAUCAAAUUUGUUUGAUUUUUUUUUCCGCUGCGUUUUACUGUACGCAAUUUUUUAACAGUGGUAUCAGAGCCAUCCUCAUGUUUUUAAGAUUAAAAUUAUGAAUUUGGUAUUCUAAACCGUUUUUUGCCGGUAGAACGAUUUAUAGAUUGUUUUUGGCUAAUUCGAAAAUUAUAAAUUGAUCAAACAAUUUAAUCUACGGUUUCUAGCAAAAAAAAAAAAAAAAAAGUUACUGUAGCAAUUACUGUAGCAUCCAUACGAAAGCUACUGUAGCGUCCGUAGGGACGUCAAAAAAAUUUCUUAAUUUUUUGUAUUUUAUUUAAAUAAAAGAAAAGAAAAAUAUAAUUUGAUUAGAUCAAAAUAAUAUCUUGAUAUGAUCAAGUUGUUAUGUUUGAAGAUUAAGUUGUUGAUCAUAAUUAUAAAUGAUCAAUAAGAUUGAUUGUUUUUUUUUUAAUAAUUUAGUUUUUCGAAUUAUCGGUUAACGGUAAAUUAGAAUGCCCAAAGUUAAUUAUUUUACAUGUGGUGUAUGAGAUACAUAUCGGUGAUGAUCAUGGAUAGCAACCAAUUUAAUUUUUGUUUCGACAUGUGAUGUAAGAUGUGUAUGCCGAAUCCUGUAAUUUUAAAUUUAUUUAAAUUAAGGAUUUUGUAUUAGAGAUGACUAUAUUUGUGCCUGCGUGCAUAAGCCGAUUUAUUUGGAGACCUGCGUGUCUCAAUAGAUUAGAGAUAAAAGUUAUCAAAUGUAAUUAAUUUUCAUUUCAUUUGUAUUGUCGGGUUGUAUAAUGUAUGGUUGCACGUCAUUGGUUGAUCGGUUGCAAGCCUAAAAGUUCGCAAGGCCCGGAUACAGACGAAUACUUGAUGGCGGUCGG
rnacentral:lncRNA from 1 species